rnacentral:ncRNA from 3 species
CCCAGGUCAGGCGGGACUACCCGCUGAAUUUAAGCAUAUCAAUAAGCGGAGGAA